rnacentral:rRNA from 1 species
UACAGAGGGUGCAAGCGUUAAUCGGAAUUACUGGGCGUAAAGGGUGCGUAGGUGGCUAAAUAAGUUAGGUGUGAAAGUCCUGGGCUUAACCUGGGGACUGCGCCUAAUACUGUUUAGCUAGAGUACUGUAGAGGAAGGUGGAAUUUCCAGUGUAGCGGUGAAAUGCGUAGAUAUUGGAAGGAACAUCUGUGGCGAAGGCGACCUUCUGGACAGAUACUGACACUGAGGCACGAAAGCGUGGGGAGCAAACAGG